GGGGUUGCAGCUCAGUGGUGGAGCACUUGCCUGGCAUGUAUGAGGCACUGGGUUUGAUUCUCAGCACCGCA
rnacentral:tRNA from 1 species